GACGAACCGUGCGAACGUUGUUCGGAAUCACUGGGCUUAAAGGGCGCGUAGGCGGACGUCCGAGUCAGAGGUGAAAGCCCCCGGCCCAACCGGGGAAGGGCCCCUGAUACCGGGCGUCUGGAGUGGGGGAGGGGCAGCUGGAACUUCCGGAGGAGCGGUGAAAUGCGUAGAGAUCGGAAGGAACGCCGGCGGCGAAAGCGAGCUGCUGGACCCCAACUGACGCUGAGGCGCGAAAGCCAGGGGAGCGAACGGG
rnacentral:misc_RNA from 1 species